GUAGAUCCCGUGUAGAUCCUGUGCCCAUCUCGUGUUGAUCCCAUGUUGCUUUGCUGCUCUACCCGUGUCCAUCCCAUGUUGAUCCCGUGUCCAUCCUGUGUUGAGCCCACAUCCAUCCCAUGUCCAUCUCAUGUUAAUCCCAUGUUGCUUCCAUGUUCCUCCCAUGUCCAUCCCAUGUCCAUCCUAUGUAGAGCCCAUGUCAACCCCGUGUUGAUCCCAUGUUGCUUUGCUGCUCUACCUGUGUCCAUCCCAUGUAGAUCCCGUGUUAAUCUCAUGUUGAUUCCCUGCUGUCCUCAUCUCCAUCCCAUGUUAAUCCCGUGUUGAUCCCAUGUUGAUUCACUGCUGUAAUCAUUUCUGUCCCAUGUAGAUCCCAUGUUAAUCCCGUGUUGAUUCGCUGCUGAACUCAUUCCUGUCCCGUGUCCAUCCCGUGUUCAUCCCAUGUUAAUUCCAUGUUGGAUUCACUGCUGUACUCGCCUCCAUCCCGUGUUCAUCUCAUGUUAAUCCCGUGUCCAUCCCAUGUUAAAUCCAUGUUAACCCCACGUUGGUCUCAUGUGGAUUCACUGCUGUAUUCAUUUCCAUCCCGUGUUCAUCCCGUGUUCAUCCCAUGUUCAUCCCAUGUCCAUCCCGUGUUGAUCCACUGCUGUACUCAUCUCCGUCCCAUGUUCAUCCCAUGUUCAUCCCAUGUCCAUCCCGUGUUGAUCCACUGCUGUACUCAUCUCCGUCCCGUGUUAAUCCAAUGUUCAUCCCAUGUUCAUCCCAUGUCCAUCCCAUGUUGAUCCACUGCUGUACUCAUCUCCGUCCCAUGUUAAUCCCAUGUCCAUCCCGUGUGGUCACAUGACCACCCCAUGUCCAAGCCAUGUUAGCUGCCUGCUGGUCACGUGACCACCCCACGUGCAUCCCGUGUUCCUUGCACGCUGCUCACAUGUGUUGCAUUGACAAGUCAGCACUUCAUCCCAUGUUAAUCCCGUGUCAAUCCCAUGUUAAUCCCAUGUUGAUUCACCAACGUGCCAGUUUUCAUCCCGUGUUAAUCCCAUGUUAACCCUGUGCCCAUCCCAUGUUCUUCCCAUGUUCGUGCCGUGUUAAUCCCGUGUUGAUUCACCACCGUGCCUGUUUUCAUCCCAUGAUGAUCCCAUGUUAAUCCCAUGUUGAUUCACCAUCGUGCCUGUCCCCAUCCCAUGUUAAUCCCAUGAUGAUCCCAUGUUGAUUCACCACCGUGCCUGUUUUCAUCCCAUGUUAAUUCCAUGUUGAUCCCAUGUUAAUCCCAUGUUAACCCCAUGUUGAUCCCAUGUUAAUCCCAUGUUGAUUCACCACUGUGCCUGUUUUCAUCCCAUGUCAAUCCCAUGUUAAUCCCAUGUUGAUUUACCACCCAUCCCAUGAUGAUCCCAUGUUAAUCCCAUGUGGACUCACCACCGUGCCUGUUUUCAUCCCAUGUUAAUCCCAUGUUGAUCCCAUGUCAAUCCCAUGUUAAUCCCAUGUGGAUUCACCACCGUGCCUGUCCCCACCCCAUGUUAAUUCCAUGUUGAUCCCAUGUUAAUCCCAUGUUGAUUCACCAUUGUGCCUGUCUCCAUCCCGUGUUAAUCCCGUGUUGGCUGCCUGGCGCUCACAUGACCUUCCCAUGUUCAUCUCAUGUUCACAGCUUUUGGUCACGCGUGUCAACUCAUGGACGUGUCGGUUCCAUGUCAGCACUUCAUCACGUGUUAUUCAUGCAUCCAUCCCAUGUUCAUCCCAUGUAGAACCCAUGUUGAUCCCAUGUUGGUCCCAUGUUGGUCCCAUGUU
rnacentral:lncRNA from 1 species